GAUGAACGCUGGCGGCGUGCUUAACACAUGCAAGUCGAACGGAAAGGCCUCUGCUUGCAGGGGUACUCGAGUGGCGAACGGGUGAGUAACACGUGGGUGAUCUGCCCUGCACUUCGGGAUAAGCCUGGGAAACUGGGUCUAAUACCGGAUAGGACAAUGGUUUGGAUGCUGUUGUGGAAAGUUUUUCGGUGUGGGAUGAGCUCGCGGCCUAUCAGCUUGUUGGUGGGGUAAUGGCCUACCAAGGCGCCGACGGGUAGCCGGCCUGAGAGGGUGUACGGCCACAUUGGGGCUGAGAUACGGCCCAGACUCCUACGGGAGGCAGCAGUGGGGAAUAUUGCACAAUGGGCGCAAGCCUGAUGCAGCGACGCCGCGUGGGGGAUGACGGCCUUCGGGUUGUAAACUCCUUUCGCUAGGGACGAAGCGUUUUUGUGACGGUACCUGGAGAAGAAGCACCGGCUAACUACGUG
rnacentral:rRNA from 1 species